UGGGGAAUUUUGCACAAUGGGGGAAACCCUGAUGCAGCGACGCCGCGUGAUUUAGAAGGCCUUCGGGUUGUAAAAAUCUUUUCUAUGGGAAGAAAAUGACAGUACCAUAGGAAUAAGGACUGGCUAAUUACGUGCCAGCAGCCGCGGUAAUACGUAUGUCACGAGCGUUAUCCGGAUUUAUUGGGCGUAAAGCGCGUCUAGGUGGUUAUGUAAGUCUGAUGUGAAAAUGCAGGGCUCAACUCUGUAUUGCGUUGGAAACUGUAUAACUAGAGUACUGGAGAGGUAAGCGGAACUACAAGUGUAGAGGUGAAAUUCGUAGAUAUUUGUAGGAAUGCCGAUGGGGAAGCCAGCUUACUGGACAGAUACUGACGCUGAAGCGCGAAAGCGUGGGUAGCAAACAGG
rnacentral:rRNA from 1 species